GACGAACGCUGGCGGCGUGCUUAACACAUGCAAGUCGAACGGAAAGGCCCUGCUUUUGUGGGGUGCUCGAGUGGCGAACGGGUGAGUAACACGUGAGUAACCUGCCCUUGACUUUGGGAUAACUUCAGGAAACUGGGGCUAAUACCGGAUAGGAGCUCCUGCUGCAUGGGGGGGGUUGGAAAGUUUCGGCGGUUGGGGAGGGACUCGCGGCUUAUCAGCUUGUUGGUGGGGUAGUGGCUUACCAAGGCUUUGACGGGUAGCCGGCCUGAGAGGGUGACCGGCCAAAUUGGGACUGAGAUACGGCCCAGACUCCUACGGGAGGCAGCAGUGGGGAAUAUUGCACAAUGGGCUGAAGCCUGAUGCAGCAACGCCGCGUGCGGGAUGACGGCCUUCGGGUUGUAAACCGCUUUCGCCUGUGACGAAGCGUGAGUGACGGUAAUGGGUAAAGAAGCACCGGCUAACUACGUG
rnacentral:rRNA from 1 species